GUAGGCAAAGGACUCUAACCUCUGUACGGGGGUUUACAGCCCCCCACUUAACACUCAGCCACCCUACCUG
rnacentral:tRNA from 1 species